GGGGGCGUGGCGAAGCUCGGUAUGACUUUGUUCGUUCGCACCAGACUUGUUGGUCACCGGUUCAAAUCCGGUCGCUCCCA
rnacentral:tRNA from 1 species